rnacentral:rRNA from 1 species
UACAGAGGGGGCGAGCGUUGUUCGGAAUUACUGGGCGUAAAGGGCGCGUAGGCGGCCAACUAAGUCAGACGUGAAAUCCCUCGGCUCAACCGGGGAACUGCGUCUGAUACUGGAUGGCUUGAAUUCGGGAGAGGGAUGCGGAAUUCCAGGUGUAGCGGUGAAAUGCGUAGAUAUCUGGAGGAACACCAGUGGCGCAAGCGGCUAUCUGGACCAACAUCGACGCUGAGGCACGAAAGCGUGGGGAUCAAACAGG